rnacentral:rRNA from 1 species
GUCCACGCCGUAAACGAUGGGUGCUAGGUGUCACGGGCUUUGACUCUCGUGGUGCCGUAGCUAACGCAUUAAGCACCCCGCCUGGGAAGUACGGCCGCAAGGCUAAAACUCAAAGGAAUUGACGGGGGCCCCGCACAAGCGGUGGAGCAUGUGGUUUAAUUCGACGCAACGCGAAGAACCUUACCUGGGCUAGAAAACAUCAAAACCUGGUAGAAAUAUCGGGGUGCUCUUCGGAGAAUUGGUGGUUAGGUGCUGCAUGGCUGUCGU